GGUUCCUUGAUUAAUAAAAAUGAGGAAUCAGGCCUGCCCAGUGAAAUUUUAACGGCCGCGGUACUCUGACCGUGCAAAGGUAGCAUAAUCAUUUGCCUUAUAAUUGAAGGCUAGUAUGAAUGGUUUGACGUGAGCAGCGCUGUCUACUUUUAUAUUUUCUAUAAAUUAACCUUUAGGUGAAGAGGCCUAAAUUUAAUUAAAGGACAAGAAGACCCUGUCGAGCUUAAAAGCUUAAAAAGAAAUCAUUAUUAACAAAAUUUAUCUCUUUUGUAACUUUUUAGUUGGGGCGACUAAGGAACAAAUAAAGCUUCUUCCACCAAAACAGCCAAUAAGCCAAGAUCCAGUUUACUGAGCAAAAAAAUUAGUUACCGCAGGGAUAACAGCAUAAUCUUCUUUGAGAGACCAAAUCGAAAGGGAGGGUUGUGACCUCGAUGUUGGACUAGAAUAUCCUGAAGAUGCAGACGUCUUUAAGGGUUGGUCUGUUCGACCAUGAAAAUUCU
rnacentral:rRNA from 1 species